rnacentral:tRNA from 1 species
GCUUUGCUAGCUUAAUCGGUAGAGCGUGAGAAUUUUAAUUUCAAGGUUGCGGGCUCGAUCCUCGCGUGAGACU